rnacentral:tRNA from 1 species
GGAGAGAGGCUGUGACUCAGUGGAAGAGCUUCUGCUUGGCAUGCAGAAGAUGCCAGGUUCGAUCCCCGGCAACUCCA